rnacentral:rRNA from 1 species
AUUGAACGCUGGCGGCAGGCCUAACACAUGCAAGUCGAGCGAGCGGCGGACGGGUGAGUAAUGUAUGGGGAACUGCCCGAUAGAGGGGGAUAACUACUGGAAACGGUAGCUAAUACCGCAUACUAUCGGAUGUACCCAUAUGGGAUUAGCUAGUAGGUGGGGUAAAGGCUCACCUAGGCGACGAUCUCUAGCUGGUCUGAGAGGAUGAUCAGCCACUCUGUGACUGAGACACGGCCCAGACUCCUACGGGAGGCAGCAGUGGGGAAUAUUGCACAAUGGGCGCAAGCCUGAUGCAGCCAUGCCGCGUGUAUGAAGAAGGCCUUAGGGUGGUAAAGUACUUUCAGCGGGGAGGCGUUACCCGCAGAAGAAGCACCGGCUAACUCCGUGCCAGCAGCCGCGGUAAUUC